UUGAACGCUGGCGGAAUGCUUUACACAUGCAAGUCGAACGGCAGCACGGGGGCAACCCUGGUGGCGAGUGGCGAACGGGUGAGUAAUGUAUCGGAACGUACCCAGUCGUGGGGGAUAACUAUCCGAAAGGAUAGCUAAUACCGCAUACGUCCUGAGGGAGAAAGCGGGGGAUCGCAAGACCUCGCGCGAUUGGAGCGGCCGAUAUCGGAUUAGCUAGUUGGUGAGGUAAAGGCUCACCAAGGCGACGAUCCGUAGCGGGUCUGAGAGGACGACCCGCCACACUGGAACUGAGACACGGUCCAGACUCCUACGGGAGGCAGCAGUGGGGAAUUUUGGACAAUGGGGGAAACCCUGAUCCAGCCAUUCCGCGUGAGUGAAGAAGGCCUUCGGGUUGUAAAGCUCUUUUGUCAGGGAAGAAACGGUUCUGGUUAAUACCUGGGGCUAAUGACGGUACCUGAAGAAUAAGCACCGGCUAACUACG
rnacentral:rRNA from 1 species